rnacentral:rRNA from 1 species
CAGUAGCCGCGGUAAUACGUAGGGUGCAAGCGUUAAUCGGAAUUACUGGGCGUAAAGCGUGCGCAGGCGGUUAUAUAAGACAGAUGUGAAAUCCCCGGGCUCAACCUGGGAACUGCAUUUGUGACUGUAUAGCUAGAGUACGGCAGAGGGGGAUGGAAUUCCGCGUGUAGCAGUGAAAUGCGUAGAUAUGCGGAGGAACACCGAUGGCGAAGGCAAUCCUCUUGGCCUGUACUGACGCUCAUGCACGAAAGCGUGGGGAGCAAACAGGAUUAGAUACCCCGGUAGUCCCUGUCUCUUAUAC